AAUUUAAUGGAAUGAGUUUUGGCUCGUGCAUCGAUGAAGAACUCAGACAAGUGCAAUGAGCAGCGUAAACUGUAGAAUUUAUUGAGUCGUGGAACGCAAAUGGCGCCGCUGUUGGCUUUUCCAGAGCACGUCUGUAUAAGUAUCG
rnacentral:rRNA from 2 species